rnacentral:rRNA from 1 species
GACGAACGCUGGCGGCGUGCUUAACACAUGCAAGUCGAACGGCAAGGCCCUGCUUGCAGGGUACUCGAGUGGCGAACGGGUGAGUAACACGUGGGGGAUCUGCCCUGCACGUGGGGAUAAGCCUGGGAAAAGGGGUCUAAAACCGGAUAGGAGCCAGUUUUUGUGUGCUGGUUGGAAAGUUGUUUCGGUGUAGGAGGAGCUCGCGGCCUAUCAGCUUGUUGGUGGGGUAAUGGGCUACCAAGGCGGCGACGGGAAGCCGGCCUGAGAGGGUGGACGACCACAUUGGGACUGAGAUACGGCCCAGACGCCUACGGGUGGCAGAAGUGGGGAAUAUUGCACAAUGGGCGCAAGCCUGAUGCAGCGACGCCGCGUGGGGGAUGACGGCCUUCGGGUUGUAAACUCCUUUCGCUAGGGACGAAGCUUUUUGUGACGGUACCUAGAGAAGAAGCACCGGCUAACUACGUG